AUUCAGUUACUUCGUCGAUAUCGCAACAAAAGUACCAAAAAUGAAGUUAAGUAUAACUAUUUUUUUGGUUCUUGCAAUUUUUGCAGCAAUUAUUGGUGGUAAGUUAAGUUCAUCUAAACUUAAUAAAAACACUGAACUUUAUUUUAUUUGUGCUAAAUAAGCAAAACACCAAGCUCCAAAGCACGGCAAAGAAGAAAAGAGACUAUUGGGUAUAGCGGAGAAUAUAAGGGGGAAAUUCUGCGACAUAGUAUGUUCUGGGGGAGGAAAAAGGAAGUGAUCCAACCCAGAAACGUAGAAUACACCAUGGUUGUAUUCAGUUUAUUGAAAAGUGUAGCGCAUGUAGUUUUAUUUUGUUAGUCAACAUUGCGGCUUAUAUUUGUAUUCUUUGUUUUAAUUGUUUUGAAAGCAAUAUCUGUACGUUACUUUUUCAAUAAAUGAGGACCAUAAAUCAGAAUUAUAAAA